CACGUAGUUAGCCGGUGCUUCUUAUCUACCUACCGUCACCUAAAAGGCUUCGUCGAUAGCGAAAGGAGUUUACAACCCGAAGGCCUUCAUCCCCCACGCGGCGUCGCUGCAUCAGGCUUGCGCCCAUUGUGCAAUAUUCCCCACUGCUGCCUCCCGUAGGAGUCUGGGCCGUAUCUCAGUCCCAAUGUGUCCGUACACCCUCUCAGGCCGGAUACCCGUCGCCGCCUUGGUAGGCCAUUACCCCACCAACAAGCUGAUAGGCCGCAGGCUCAUCCCACACCGCAAAAGCUUUCCACCACACCAUCCAAAGCGCGGUCCUAUAUGGUAUUAGACCCAGUUUCCCAGGCUUAUCCCACAGUGCAGGGCAGAUCACCCACGUGUUACUCACCCGUUCGCCACUCGAGUACCUCUAGCAAGCUAGAGGCCUUUCCGUUCGACUUGCAUGUGUUAAGCACGCCGCCAGCGUUCAUCCUGAGCCAGGAUCAAACUCU
rnacentral:rRNA from 1 species